AAAAUAGUCUUUGCGCAAUAAUAAAUGAUUCCAGAAUACUCCACACACGCCUACUCUGUCAUCUUUAGGUUUUUCUUUGCACACACCGGUUCUCUCUCAAAAUUGCCAUAAAAUUUCUUUCUUUUUUCAUUUCUUAAUCCAUUCCUUUUUGCCAUAUUUCAAACUCAAUCAUUCUUCACAAUCUUGAUUUUUAACAUCUCUUCUGGUUCUUUCAAUAUCAGGUUGAAAAGAGAGAAUUUUGAAUACCCUUUUUUUGUUUCCCUGCAUUGCAUCAGUUUCUGGAAUGACGGAAACAAAGAUGUUUCAAGGAGGGUAUUGUGGAAUCCAUAGAUGGCAAUUGCCGUUUUUAUGAUGUAGUAGAUAUUCUGGGAUUUUCUUCAACAAACAAAGGAUGGUGAUAUGCUCAAGUUCCAGCUCCCUGAGAUGUAUUUUGAACCUGAUAGCAGAUUCAAGUAGUAGCAAUAAAGGCAGUCAACCAUCUUAGAGGCAGCCUGCUUUAUCUGAAAAUUCUGUUGGCAGUUCUGAGUAUAGUACGGGAUCAACUCUGCUAUCCCAUGCUCCUGCUGAUAAAACAGAAAAAGUCAAGCUGAGGUGUGUGUGCUUCAUCAGGAUAUUGAAUCUGAAUUACAAACAUCUCAGAUGAGUGAUCAAGUUAUCAAGCUGGGCUUCAUGAAUUAGAAAAUGGAAUCUUCUGCAUGUAUCCACCCUGAGGUAAACAGAUUUCAGUUCUCCUCAUCAAGGAACUCCACUGUUCAGAUCUUUAGCUGCAGAAAUUCUCACGCCAAAGUUUUCAGAAAGUCAUCAGUAUUCGGAGAGCUAUGUAAAUUGGAGCCACUUAGGAUGAAGGAAAGCGGAAAUGGAUUGGUUGCUCUCACCUACCACUCAUAUGAUUGAGUUGGUUCCUUCAAAACAAAGUGGUUCUAAAGGCCAGAGAUUGGAGAUAUUAACACCAAAAGCUCGUGCAGACAUCCAUAUGAAUCUGCCAGCACUUCAAAAAUUGGAUUCCAUGCUUCUUGAAACGCUGCAUUCAAUGCUUAAUACUGAGAUUUGGUAUACGGAAGUGAGUAGUCGAGCAGAAGGAAAGAACACAAAAGUGAAGUCUUCCUUCACCCAAGGUAUUCAUUGAUCAUGUUGGUAAGUUUUCAAUUUUCUGUAAUGUUUGAUACUCCCUGCUUCAUAAUUAUUACAAUUGUGGUCUUUCUAGAAGCAACAAAUCUGCCUCUUUAAAAUAUCAAUGAAGAGAGAAAAUGUAAAGGAAAGGAUGAUUCUAGACUUUCCUAUACCCUUUAUAUACCGAGAUUUGAACCCAACAAUAUUAAUAAGUUAGUACCUUUUAAAGAAAUUGUAUGCGGAUGGUGCAGCUGUUUUUUCCCAUCUGAUGUAUUGGUGUAUCUAUUUCAUAAGAUAAACUACGGUUGCUGUUUCUGUCCAGAAACUGAAGAAAACAUCUGGGACAGGCAUAUUUGACACGACCCUCCAGAUAUGUUGAGGUUUUGUGUUUGAGUGCAUUUGUGAUGUAGUUUUUACGAGUUAGGGAGUUUGAAAGUUGGUAGCUUUCUGCACUUUUUUGUUCCUCUUUCCAUCCUUGCAUAUUUUUUUUGGUUAAUCAUUCUGUCUUGCAUUGAUAGUAGUAACUCGAGAAAUCUGAUGGGUCAAAACAGAACUGAGGAACUGUGAUGUCUCUGCAUUUUUGAGCCGAGCAGAAGCUCUCAUGCAACAGCUGAAAGUUAAAUGAAACUUCACAUUAAGUAAUAGUAAAAGUAGUAUGUCAAAUGUCUUCAAGCAGGGCGGAUACUUUAUGUGGGAAGACCAUCGAAUAAGCUCAUACAAAGGCACCAGAGGAGGAAUAGCUAUCUCUGUCAGUAAUUGUACAUAUUUAUUCUUAUACGGACUUUCAGAUGUCUGAACGAAUUAAAAAGACACUUGCAAACACCAAACUGUAAGUGCACUAACACAGCUAAGCUAUAGGUCUUUUACUUCUAUUGUGUUGUAGUUUCUGGAGAGACUCGUUGUGGAAAGACUACAUAACUCCCUCAAUUUAUUCUUGAAGAGGAGAUAUCAUCCCUUCAUGGUAAAGCUGGGUUGUUCAUGGAAUGUUAACCAAAUUGCAACUGAUUUUCUUUCGUCAGUUGCCUGGUUUGAGUAAUGACAUGAAGGUGCAAAUGCAAUUUUUCCUUGUUGCUUUUUUGUUCUUUCUUCUUUUCGUUAUUUUUUCUUGUGGCGGGAUAAUUAUGAAUUAGGAUGCAAAAAUUUAACAUAGUAAGGUAAGUCAUUGCAAUUUGGUUGUAUUUCGCGUAGAUGGAUGUUCAAAGCUAGCAUCUUGACGCAGAAUCAGAAGUCAACUAAUGAAAAUUGAUCAAAAUAUGCAGAUAAAAGUUAUUCUAGAUCUGUUGUUUUUGAUUUAAGACUUCCUUAUUCCUAUGUUAGUAUGUAUAUAAUCUGCAGUUGGAGAAUGCUAUGCUUAGUUAAACGUCGUGUUAUUCCAGAGAGUGUAUCCAUAGUAAAGGUCAAUGUGAUGUCACCAAUUGUUCAUUGAAAUUUUUAGCCAAAGAUCGAUCUUUUACACUGUUAUUGUUCUCGUGGAUAUAGGAUUUCAGUCUGAUUCUUGAUUAUUCAUUCUCUGCGAGUGACCAGUUUUUCUAGAUUUCUCCAUUUGAGUUUUAACAUACUCAGGAAACGUAGUAGCUCAGUUGGUGGUUGGCUACCUCGAUUUUUACCUUACCUUGUUGGCUAGGAUUCGGUUCCCACCUUGUAAUCCCCUAUCCAAUGAUUAUUAACAAAAUGUAAUGUUGACCAAAUUGCAACUGGCAGUUGCUUGGUUUGAGUAAUGACAUGAACCUUCCAUUCAAGAACUACACACAACUCAUUCAACUAAGCCCCACUUAAGUUAAAAUGAUAAAAGACUUUUGGUGCAUUAUUCAGCUGUUAUAUUAGAGAAACUGAAAACCUGAGUCUCUAGCCCAUUUUCAGAAAAUGAAGGAACUUGGGGAGGGUAGAUUGUAUGCAAACUUUACCUCUACCGUAUUAAGGUAGAGCAGCUGUUUCAGAAAGACCCUAGGCUAAAGUGUAGCAAAUUAAAGUAGUAAUGAAGAUGGAGAAAAAGAAAAGAAAAAAAUAGUAGUGAAGGAAAACAUGGCAACUAAUAGGAAAGGCAUGUGAGAGCAAUGGAGAUUUCUUUCACGGUAAGUGGUCUAAAUUUCGGCCAUUGGAUAGAUAAAGCCAGUUUCCUACCAACUUCAUCAAAAAGUUCUUCAACCUCUUUUGGCCCCUAAUACAAGAUGACAUCACUGGUAUUUUACUUAUCAACUAGACUUUUUCUUCAUCAUCCAUCAAGAUGAUAGUGGUAGUAGAUUCAUCCCGGAGAUUGAAUUGAGUGGUCAUGAUAUCUGCUGCAAGGAUUGAUCCUACUAACUUUGCAUUACUCUUUUUAUUUCUUUGAGGAUUUUUUUCUUCUUUAAAGGACUCACAAGGGCCUCCUCAGAAGUAUUGCAAGAUGUACUAGCUCUGCUUCAGAACCGCAAAUUUAUCAUUUUGGUCUGAGGAUUCAUCAAGAUCCUACAGCUUGAGUGGAAAAUAACAACUUAUUAGCUUAAGGACCAUGGCAGCAAGAUCCUGUAGCUUGAGUGGGAGAUAUCUAUUUCUUUCCAGAAUUUACAUUGUAAAUGCAUGUUAUUUUGUAACGUUUUUUUACUUCACUGGUCGAUUAACAAAAUCGAUUCCUUAUUAUGAUGCUUUUGUCAAAAUUUGAUGCAAUUCUGAUAGAAACAUACAAAAUUGCCUGGUGAUUACAAAUCAUAGCAAUGUCAUUAUUAUUGGGCCUCCGCGAGCGUGGGCUCUCUCUCUCUCUCUCACACACGCACAUAUAUAUAUUAGUUUGAUUUUUUUCCUGGAGAUAUAGCUACCUGAGAAGCUACGUUGCUCGGAAUCUGCCAAGUGGAAGUUGGUUCCAUCGGAAUCCAUAUGAAACAGUUGUAGUGGAAGAGGAGAGGGUAUCGAUAAACCCCACCCAAUGGUGACGCCGACAAGGUACGGCAUUCCAAAGUCGGAAGCUAUUUCCAAAUGCUACAAUUUUGCUUCUACUGGGUAUCCAGCCGAAACUCUAGUGAGGUUUCUCAAAGCUAGGGAUGGCAGUGUCUCUAAAACACAAAAGAUCAUUUUGCAGCUUGUUGACUGUUUAAAUUGGAGGAUAGACAAUGAGAUUGGUCAGAUACUUGCACUCACUGAUGCUCCAAAAAUUCAUUCCAAUGCCAUGUUAAGUUUGAUAUAACUGAUGCCCAGAUAGGUUUUGUUUUGCCAACUGUUGCUCCUACUUGUGACAUUGACUUCUAUACCAGAUUGACCUAUUCAAGUUCUGAUUGCCAUUUUUGGAAUACAAGCAUAGUGCUUCCCUUCAGAUCAAACCUCCUGGAAAGGUCCACUGAAGAGAACAUUAUGUCAAUAUUUGGUGUUUUUCACCCAUCAUUAUUGCUAUUUCUUCAAUGACUUCACUGUAUCAAAUUUCGAAUAUGAUUAGCGAUUCUAUUAUUGUUUUGACGAAAGAAGUGGGACGUGGCAUUAAGAUUUCUUUUGGAGAGGAGAAAUUGACUUGUUUUGUUGUAUCCCAUAAAUUACAGGCUGGCAUUUUUUAUGCUUUACCUAUUCAGUAUGCAAAUUGCUUCAUAAAUGCCUCAAAACUUAUAGUUUUGAACUUCACCAUA